rnacentral:rRNA from 1 species
AUUGAACGCUGGCGGCAGGCCUAACACAUGCAAGUCGAGCGAGCGGCGGACGUGUGAGUAAUGCCUGGGAAUUGCCCAGUCGAGGGGGAUCACAGUUGGACACGACUGCUAAUCCCGCAUACUCUUGUAUUGCCCAGGUGGGAUUAGCUAGUUGGUGAGGAAAUGGCUCACCAAGGCGACGACCCCUAGCUGGUCUGAGAGGAUGAUCAGCCACACUGGAACUGAGACACGGUCCAGACUCCUACGGGAGGCAGCAGUGGGGAAUAUUGCACAAUGGGGGAAACCCUGAUGCAGCCAUGCCGCGUGUGUGAAGAAGGCCUUCGGGUUGUAAAGCACUUUCAGCGAGGAGGCGUUACUCGCAGAAGAAGCACCGGCUAACUCCGUGCCAGCAGCCGCGGUAAUAC